rnacentral:rRNA from 1 species
GAGUUUGAUCCUGGCUCAGAUUGAACGCUGGCGGCAGGCUUAACACAUGCAAGUCGAGCGGGGGAGAUUGCUUCGGUAAUUGACCUAGCGGCGGACGGGUGAGUAAUACUUAGGAAUCUGCCUAUUAAUGGGGGACAACAUCUCGAAAGGGAUGCUAAUACCGCAUACGCCCUACGGGGAAAGGCAGGGGAUCACUUGUGACCUUGCGUUAAUAGAUGAGCCUAAGUCGGAUUAGCUAGUUGGUGGGGUAAAGGCCUACCAAGGCGACGAUCUGUAGCGGGUCUGAGAGGAUGAUCCGCCACACUGGGACUGAGACACGGCCCAGACUCCUACGGGAGGCAGCAGUGGGGAAUAUUGGACAAUGGGGGGAACCCGUGAUCCAGCCAUGCCGCGUGUGUGAAGAAGGCCUUAUGGUUGUAAAGCACUUUAAGCGAGGAGGAGGCUCCUGCAGUUAAUACCUACAGAGAGUGGACGUUACUCGCAGAAUAAGCACCGGCUAACUCUGUGCCAGCCGCCG